UCCCCGGUAGCUCAACGGUAGAGCGGGUGCCUGUUAAGCACUAGGUUGCAGGUUCGAAUCCUGCCCGGGGAGCCA
rnacentral:tRNA from 5 species